UACGUAGGGUGCGAGCGUUAAUCGGAAUUACUGGGCGUAAAGCGUGCGCAGGCGGUUCGUUAAGUUCGUUGUGAAAGCCCCGGGCUCAACCUGGGAACUGCAAUGGAAACUGGCGGGCUUGAGUGUGGCAGAGGGGGGUGGAAUUCCGCGUGUAGCAGUGAAAUGCGUAGAGAUGCGGAGGAACACCGAUGGCGAAGGCAGCCCCCUGGGCCAACACUGACGCUCAGGCGCGAAAGCGUGGGGAGCAAACAGG
rnacentral:rRNA from 1 species